ACGAAGUUGGUUUCUUCGUGUCCAAACAGGCGGUAAAACAAACAAAAGGAAAAAGGGCGGAAAGAGAAGAAACUCUGCUAGGGUUUCUAUUUUCAAGUCAUUCGAACUCACGGGAGGAUAAUCCCUAAUUCUCAUUCAUCCGUGUUCGUUCGUAUACCUUCCUACUUAUCCAUUUUCCAUCAGAUUCCUCCUCUACCGGAAGUUUCGUAUUCGACAUGGCUGGGCUGAUCGAAAGCUUAACUUACCGAAUUCUUCGUGGGUGUUUGACAUUCCGAUUGCUUCGGAUGGAGUGGCUUUCCUGGCAGUAGACAGAAAGCUGGCUUCUUGAUGUUUAUGUUAGUCAUACUACAAACAAACUUAGAACCGGGGAAGAAAUAGAAAUAUUAUGUCUGGAAGAAAUCGGGGACCGCCCAUCCCACUAAAUGCUGUGCCUCACGGUGGAUUACAACCAGUUCGUGAACCUCCUUUUGCCAGAGGUCUUGGGCCAUUGCCACAUCCAGUGCUUCUUGAGGAAAUCAGGGAAUCACAGUAUGGGAUGCAUCCAGGGUCCCUUCCUCCACACCCUGUAAUAAUCGAGGAGCGUCUUGCUGCCCAACAUCAAGAUAUUCAAGGUCUUCUUCUUGACAACCAGAGGCUAGCUGCAACCCAUGUUGCGCUUAAGCAGGAACUAGAAGCAGCCCAGCAUGAGUUGCAACGCAUGGCUCAUGUUGCUGAUUCGUUACAUGCAGAAAGGGAUAUUCAGAUGAGAGAAUUGUAUGAAAAAUCGGUAAGACUAGAGGUUGAUCUGCGAGGUGUUGAGACUAUGCGAGCAGAGCUUCUACAAGUUCAUUCUGAUGUCAAGGAAUUAACUACUGCAAGGCAGGAGCUCACUGGGCAAGUACAAGCAAUGACACAAGAUUUAACUAGAAUUACUGCAGAUUUGCAGCAGGUCCCUGCUUUGAGGGCAGAAAUUGAAACUGUGAAGCAGGAAUUACAUCGUGCAAGAGUUGCAAUCGAGUAUGAAAAGAAGGGAUAUGCAGAGAAUUAUGAACACGGUCAGGUCAUGGAGAAGAAACUGGUUUCAAUGGCUCGGGAAUUGGAGAAACUUAGAGCUGAGGUUGCUAAUGCAGAGAAGAGAGCUCAUGCUUCUGCUGCCGUUGGUGGAAAUACUGCUGCUGGUUAUGGUGCAAAUUAUGGCAAUGCUGAUGCUGGAUACGCGGGAAAUCCAUAUUCUACCAAUUAUGGCUUGAACUCCGUGCAGUCUGGUACAGACGGUUAUCCUCCGUAUGGACCUGGAUCUGUUCCCUGGGGUGCAUAUGACAUGCAACGGGCUCAAGGACAUAGAUAGACUGAUGCAUUAUGUCCUGCUAAGAUGUUUCUUGCAGAGGGAUUGAGGUUCAAAUCACAAAGCAUUGAUAAUUAGGUUUGUGGGCCUCCAUGAUCUGCUUCAUUUAUGGCUGUGAACUGAUUUCAGAUUGUACUGAGUCUGAGGUUUCCAUAUGUUAAAGGCAGUUGAAGCUGAACUCCCAAAUCUCUUCAAUCUGAAAUCACUGCAGCUCGUGGCUUGUACAAUCAACAAUUUGUUCCUUCUAAGCUCAGGAAGCAGUCUUUCCUGGCAUAAAUUUUACAACUAGCAAUACGUCAUUAUGUGCUGGUUGGUGUGCACCCUUUGCUCCGGUUUGAGAAAAAUGAACGGCCUAUUCAAAGUUGACCUACGGUUCUUGAACAUCCACAGGAAACAGGCAUAUGGAAUAAGGCUUCAACCGUGUCGGUUGUUCGACAAAACUGAUUUGGCAGAGUUUAAAUUCAACCAAACCCCCUUGCUGUUCCAAUUAUGGAAUGGGUAGGCUUGAAGUUGAUUGUUGAAAGUUGAGGUAAAUCAGCCCUACAUCACGCAAAUAUCAGUGUAUGUCAAUUCACAAUUGGUAUUUUUUGUUUGUUUUUUUUUACAUAUUCUACUCUGAAUGAUUCUUUGAACCUGUGACUGUAUGAAAUAAGAUUUAUGGUCAUAUGCAAGGCUCUAUCACCUUUUUUUAGAAUCUAAAUAAAAUAGCAGGUUAAAUUCCUA